GUCACAAGCUCUAAUAUGUGUACAGAUUCUCAACGUCAUGAUAGUUGCAAACAGAAAUAUGGAACGUUUAAAUAAUGUUUGUUUGUGUUUUUAAAAAAAUCUGAAAAUAAAAGAAUGAAUAGUAUGAUCCAGAUUGAGGUAUGUCUUCAGUCAAGUAAGAGCUAGAUCUAAUAAUAGCUUUGAAAGUGCACAGACUUACAAUAUUUAUUCAUUCUAAACUCCUACUAUCUUACCCACUAUAGCCUUCUAUAGUGGUUUUGGUGGUAGUAGCAACAUGGCACUGUUCCACGGCAAUGGGGCAAAGCAUUUUACAACAGUUUAUCCUCCCUUGCUGUCUUAAGACAUCUGGGUUCUGCAGAGAGGCAGUAUCCUAAUGCCGACCCUCCCUAGAACUUCACCUGACUGCUUUCAGCCAAUGAAUGACAUUCUGUGUGUAGAAAUAUGCACAAAAUAAGCAUUUGCCAGACCAGAGCUCUUGUCCUGGACUGGCUAAUGAUGCCUAAAUGAAGCUGCCAGAGUUAGAGAUACACCUCCUGUAGCAAAGAGGUUAAACUUGGCAUGUGCAGCAUCCAAGCACAUGAUCACUUUAAAUCACUGAAAUGGUCAUGGUGCUUGUAGUAACCCUUUAACACACCUGAUGUUUUGUUUUCUGUUUUUGCAUUUUAUCAACAGAAAGGUACUUGUUUGACAAGUGAUUCCUUAUGGUGAUCACUUAUGGUACAGGAAUACCCCAAUAGAUUUGCUUCUCAUUUUAGAACUGCAAUCUGAUUGGCUCUGAUAAACCACGCAGUGAAGUAUGCAUUUUGGUUUUUACUCUUUGAGGAUAGCUUAUUCAUUUCCCUUUGCUUUCUCUUUCAUGCAGGUUUCCAUUUGAGUGGCACAGUGACAGAGCCUGCAAUGCAGUCAGAGCCAGAAAUUGUUUGCAAUGUAGCCAUCAGCUUUGAUCGUUGCAAGAUUACCUCAGUGACCUGCAGCUGUGGAAACAAGGACAUCUUUUAUUGUGCUCAUGUCGUUGCACUCUCAUUAUACCGCAUCCGCAAGCCGGACCAGGUGAAACUACAUCUUCCUAUUUCAGAGACCCUCUUUCAAAUGAACAGAGACCAGCUGCAGAAAUUUGUACAGUAUUUGAUCACAGUUCACCACACAGAGGUCUUGCCUACCGCUCAGAAACUAGCAGAUGAAAUUCUGUCACAGAACUCUGAAAUAAAUCAAGUUCAUGGUG
rnacentral:lncRNA from 1 species